rnacentral:SRP_RNA from 1 species
GCUGGGUGUGGUGGUGCAUGCCUGUAAUCUCAGUUACUUGGGAGGCAGAGGCAGGAGAAUUGCUUGAACCCAGGAGGCGGAGGUUGCAGUGAGCCGAGAUCGCGCCACUGCACUCCAGCCUGGGUGACAGAGUAAGACUCUGUCUCAA